GAAUGAGACUUUCGCUACUCCCUUAUACCAUGUUGGUAAGUUUUCAAACCACUGCUGUUGUCGUAAGAGAAAUUAUUUUGGUGAUGUAGCAGGAAAAGACUUGGGAAGGAUUAGUAAAAUUAUAUUACGCUCAUUGCACUAGAAAAAUAUAAAAUCGAAGUUUGUACGUGUCCACAAUAACAACAAUAAACAUUGGAAAUUCUAACAUCAAAAUUUUGUUUAAACAAAUUCAGCGGUAGGUCAGACACGUCGCUCCGAAAUCAUCCCGUCACCUUAUAUGCUGAGCUUGGUAUUGUUUUGCACAAUUGCUGUGCAUUGGUGUUAAUUGAAUUGAAUUGUACCUGACUGCAUGUCCAUACAAACAUAUACAAUUCGUAUACAUAACUCUUAACGUCAAGCUAUUUGUAUGUGUAUGUAGCUACAACAAUCAUUAUCAACUUUAAACAAUUGAUUUGAAGUAAAAAAGACAACGCAAAAGACGUGUAGGACGCAACAUUGAGGUGUACAUUCGACGACGUGUGGAAGGAAAGCAAUUGUUUUUGUUAGUGUCAGGAUACUUGUUAACUACACUUUUACUUGUAACAACUGUUAGUUGGCUAUUGUUGUGGUUAAGCGAGAGCAACAGUAUGUCGAUUGCGCCAGUGAUAAUUGAGGCAACCGCCAAACAUACGUCAACCCUCAUCUUCAUGCACGGCUUAGGUGAUACUGGCCAUGGAUGGAGUUCAGCGUUGGCGACGAUACGUCCGCCCAGCAUGAAAGUAAUCUGUCCAACAGCACCCACAAUGCCGGUGUCAUUGAAUGCCGGCUUUCGUAUGCCAUCUUGGUUUGAUUUACGUACGCUCGAUAUAUCUGGCCCCGAAGAUGAGGAGGGCAUCAAAAGUGCUGCUCAAAAUAUCAAAAGUAUGAUUGAUGAUGAGGUCACCAAAGGUAUAGCAUCGAAUCGUAUUGUGCUCGGUGGUUUCUCACAGGGUGGCGCAUUAGCAUUGUACACAGCGCUAACAUACAAUCAACCGCUGGCUGGUGUUGUAGCGUUAUCCUGUUGGUUGCCAUUGCACAAGCAAUUUCCAGGCAUAAAAACCAACUCAGAUGAAAUACCAGUAUUUCAGGCACAUGGUGACUUCGAUCCUGUUGUACCAUACAAGUUUGGCCAAUUAAGCGCUAGUUUAUUAAAGACUUUUAUGAAAAAAGUUACAUUUAAAACAUACAAUGGGCUAUCACAUUCCUCAUCGGAUGACGAAAUGGAUGAUGUGCGGGAUGUACUGUCCUCUUGGGUAAAUUAAAUUGAAAAACAAUAAAAAUACAAUACACUAGUAAACAAAAUGAACAUAUAAUUAGUGUGCAUAGUUAAGCGCAGUGGUGACAGUAGGAAAAGUAAUACUUCAACGCUGGAUGUUAGCGGAAAUGCCACAGCUCAAUGCUGUCUAAUAUCAUAGUAGCAAAUAUGUGAUUUUCUCUGAUGAUUUAUGUUAUGAUGAUGUUGAUGAUAAUGAUGUGUAUGAGGCACAAACAAAAACACCUUUUUAUUAUUGCAACAAAAAUGCAACUCAUAACUUAUGAACAUGAAACUAGUAACUAAACAAGUGAAAACUUGAAUUUAAAGUAUACUACAACAAAGCAGCAACUCAAACAACUCAAAAAUACAUUUUUCGCAAGUAGUUUAUUCCAAACAAUGAAUGAAUUAAUAACUUUCAAAACAAAUGCGGCGUGUAUUUUUAUGGCACGCAUUGUAUAAAACUUAAAAAAAUAUUUACUAAUUUUUGCACGUUUUUACAUUUGGCGCAAUACAUUUUAUUUAAUUACUUUUUAGGGAUAGUCAAGUGUAGACGGUAAUUUCUGCUGUUACUAGUUGUUAAACUGAAACUUAUACCUUUAACGUAUAACGUAGCGUGACUGAACUAUAUUAUUACAAUAUAUAUUAUAUAAUUACUAUUAGAAGUAGCUAAUUGUGAAGCGAAAAAGAGGUUACAAAAAAAAAAAAAAAAC